rnacentral:lncRNA from 1 species
CCCUCUUUGGGCUUUUGGGUCUGAAAUGAAAGUUUCUCAAAGGUGAUUUCCCAUCAAGUAGGGCAAAGGUUCAGCAAUGUGGAUCUUUCUGAGACUGAGAUUUAUUUUUAUUUUCCCAGAGGUUCCUGAGAAUUGCUUGUUACUGCUCUUUGACUAUCUUCAGAGAUUGUGUGACCUGGUUGCACAUGCCUGCCUACCAAGUAACAGAAAGAUGCUGCCAUUGCACUGUGAGCUGAGAUUCACAUGGAACUGUUCCAUAGAGCUAUGGCUGGAAUCAGAGAUUAGUACCCAGCAGUGGAAUGGCUGGAUCAUGUACAGAAAAGAAAACUGUGGACUCAGAAAGGGAAGAAUCAUCUAUCCUGCCGGAGGGUGUGCACCAUUUAUCAUGCUGACUGGGCUGUCAUAUCAGUGGGAGGACCCUAGAGAGCCCUGACCGUGAGAUUGAAGGUUGGUGCCAAUUUACAGCAACACAAAUGCAUUGAACAGGAAAGAGAUAGCUCCUAAUCUCUUCAAUUUUCUUACAUUACCCUGAAGGCCAGAGGAUUAAAUGAAACAGUAGUUGAUGAUAACUUUAGAGGGUCCUGAAUGCAUGACAGGAAAAGUAUUAAAAUAGCUCAAUAGUUUUAUUGUAUAUGUGUGUUAAUCUUGCCCCUGAAAGAGGAACAAGGAUAGAAAAUGCUACCUUUUGCUUAUACCUAUUCCUCAGUGGGAAAAUGAUACACUAAUUCUGUUUGCCUGUCAGAUUCUUAUGCAGGGCACAACAGAAAAAAUGAAGAACAAAAAAUGUAAGGGAGACCAAACCUGAAAAUACCCUGGCACACACAUUAUCUGGAUAAUGUGACUCACAAUUUGUCGGUGUGUCUUUAAUGACUUGUAGUGAAUCUGUUAGUCUGUGCCUGCCAGCAGUGUAUGUCAGGAGAAUAGCUUUUUAAAAAUUAAAAUUAACCCCUGGUCACACUGGGCGAAACAGUCUCUGAUUAGGUACAGGUUUUAUGUAUACUUGUGGUUAGUUUGGAUAAGAUUGAAACAAACAAGCCAUUUCAGGGUCACGUUUCACAGAAACUGAAUAAGUACACAGCCAAACAGGACCUACCAGGCAGGCAUUCCCAGAACCAAAUUCCAUUUCCCAAUUUAUAAAAUUAUUGUCGAAGGCCUACUAAGUUCCA